CCCUUAGAUGUCCUGGGCCGCACGCGCGUUACACUGAUGCAUUCAACGAGCUUAUAACCUUGGCCGAGAGGCCUGGGCAAUCUUGUUAACGUGCAUCGUGAUAGGGAUAGAUUAUUGAAAUUAUUAAUCUUGAACGAGGAAUUCCUAGUAAACGCAGAUCAUCAAUCUGCAUUGAUUACGUCCCUGCCCUUUGUACACACCGCCCGUCGCACCUACCGAUUGGAUGGUCCGGUGAAGCCUCGGGAUUGUGGUUCUUGCCGCUUUAUUGUGGCGUGACCGCGAGAACUUGUCUAAACCUUAUCAUCUAGAGGAAGGUGAAGUCGUAACC
rnacentral:rRNA from 1 species